rnacentral:snoRNA from 1 species
AAUCCAUGGUGAGGGCACCUUCUUAAAAGAUCCUUGUAUCUCUCCCAUGCAUCAUAGAGUGUCUCUAGAUCCAUCUGUACAAAAGAAAAGAUAUCAUUCCUCAACUU